AUUCCUUAGAGCGUUCGCCGGUUUUGCGAAAUAACACUCGAUAGAUGGCGCUGGCGCUUGAUACGCGAGCGCCGGCAAAGCUAUGCGCGUUUCAACGCAGACGAGAAUAAUAUUGAUACUUUUCAAUUUAAUUUGCAAGUAAAUUUAUUUUAACGUUAUAUUGGCACUCUUUUAUAAGCAUGAUAGUAGUGAAUAGAGUGUAUGUGUUGAGAAAAUAUAUAACCAACGACGAAUAAAUAAUAAUGAUUGUUUACCUAUGUCAUGGAAUUAUUGCGACAAGUUCAUCCAUGAAGUCAAGGAACUAUUCAAGUCAGUUCACCAAGGAAGUUGAAUAAUUAAAUGUUUGAAAGAUAAGAUUAUACUAAAUUAUAGUAUAUAUACAUACGGUGUUGCUUAUUUCGUCGAAAUUGAAAUUUUCUAUGUCUCACCCCCUUAAAUUGUUCUCUUUCACUAAAAAACAAAUGUGUAUUUUUUUCAGAAUUUUCAAUUAUGUUUUAGGGGUCGCUACCGAAUUUUGAAAAUUUGCACCCUCCAUACAAGAUUAUUUUUUUGUCUUUUUUCUUGUUUUUUUUUAUAUGAAUCAAUGGGUCAGGAUCAGGAAAAUAAUACCACUAUUUUUUUAAAGCUUAUUAUGCGUGUUUUAGGCGUUCUAAAUAUUCAUUCAGCAGUGCGCACUCCUAAAAUAGGAAUAAAAAUUAAAAUAUAUUGACUAUACCUAGUAUUGAAUUACAUGUAAAUAGCUUUCAUAUACUUUGACUCACUGUCUCACUAAUUAAACUCACAACUUGAUCUUGAUAUCUGUAUCAUUUAAGCCACUAGGCCAAGUUUGGUAUCGUUUUCGUAUAAAUCGGGGGUGCCGAAUUCAUUGUCAUCAUCAUCAUCAUCAUCAUCAUCAGGUGUCAUCAUAAUGACACCAUUCCGAAGUAAAAACACAUAAAAUAUGAAGAAAAAAAAUACUUUUUAUAAUUCCUCUUCACACUUAAACUGCUGAACCAAUUUAGUUAAACCCACAUUAUAGACGGGUCUAACGCGGGUAUGUGAGUUAAUAUGUGUUCAAAACGCGAAAGUUUAAAAUAUUCAAUUUAGUUCAUAUUUGGUAGGUACAGAGAUAGUUUGAGUCCCAGGGAAUAACAUAGCAAACUUUUAAUCUCAAAAAUUAUCCCUUAAGGAUGUGAAAAGGGAGGAAGCAAAUGAAGCUUUAUUUGUAAGUAUAUAAAAUAAAAUAAUAUUAAUAAUCUAUCAACCGCAUCUAGAUCGAUAGUGCUCGUCAAGGCAAAUCUAUUGAGCCCAAAUACGAUGGAGUUAUGAUGAGUAGAUUCGGAGUUCUGGUGACCAACUCCUGUCUCCAUCAUGAGAACCUGGGCUUCAUCUAGAUCGAUGGUGCUUGUCGGGGCAAAUCUAUUGAUCCCAAACACGAUGGAGUUAUAAUGAGUAGAUUAGGACUUCUGGCGACCAACUCCUAACUCCAUCUCAUUAAUGGAGUCAGGAGUUGGUCACCAGAAGGGGCUCGUGACUCUGGACAUCAUCUAGAUAGAUGGUGCUCGUCAGGGCAAAUCUAAUGAGCCCAAACACCAUGGAGUUAUAAUGAGUAGAUGAGGAUUUCUGGUGACCAACUCCUGACUCCAUCAUGAGAACCUGGACUUCAUCUAGAUCAAUGGUGCUCGUCGGGGCAAAUCUAUUGAGCCCAAACACGAUGGACUUAUGAUGAGUAGAUUAGGACUUCUGGUGACCAUCUCAUCAUGGAGUCAGGAGUUGGUCACCAGAAGGGUCUCAUGACCCUGGACCUCAUCUAGAUAGAUGAUGCUCGUCCGGGCAAAUCUAAUGAACCCAAACACGAUGGAGUGAUAAUAAGUAGAUUAGGAGUUCUGGUGACCAACUCCUGAGUCCAUCAUGAGAACCUGGACCUCAUCUAGAUCCGUGGUGUUCGUCAAGGCAAAUCCAUGGAGCCCAAACACGAUGGAGUUAAGAUGAGUAGAUUAGGAGUUCGGUGGCCAAUUCCUGACUCCAUCAAGAGAACCUGGACAUCAUCCAGGUCGUCCGGGUAUAAUUAAAAUGCAAACCCUAACCAGAAUUCAAGUAACACUGAAAAUCUAUCACAUAAGCGAGAGUCGGUUGUUAAAAUUUAAUAUGGUGUGAAAAAUGUACUCUCCCUUGGAUCAAGAUUUUCUAAUCAUAGUAUACAACAGUUCUCGGAACUCGCUCAAUGUUUACGAAGCAAUGAGCGCCUGACGAUCGAGCGCAGGUCCGUUCCCUAAGCGCGCUCGGCGGAGAAUGAGCGCGCGGCGUCGCUGCAGCGUGAUUUAUAGGUCUUUUAAAAAAAUAUAUAUUUACGGCAAGGUAGGUCCUAUAGUUAUGAUUUUUUUUUAAUGAGUAAACAUAAAGUUACAGUUUGUUAAAAUAUUUUUUUUGUGGCAAAAUAUAAGUCCAAUUAGCGAUAAAAAAAUGUAAUGUAACCCUGUUUUCACCAAAAAAAUUAAGAAAACUCGGAAGGUGUUUUAUCAUGUUUUUUAAAUGAAAGUUCGAUUUUCAAGCAUGUAAGCCCCUCGUACAACAUAUGAUGAGUUGAAUUGUAAUCAUUCAUAUACCAAAUAAUUCUUUUUUACUGCAAAAUUGAGAGCCGAAACGACCCUUCUCACUGCAAAUUUUGAAAAAGACUUCUAAGAAAACUCAUUUAUUUUAGGUUCAAAAAGAGAAAAUGAAAAUUAGAACAUUUGCAGCCCCUAGUUUAAGAAAUGAUUAUUUAAGUACGUUAUCAGUUUUUGAAUAAAUACUAAUAGUUACGUCGUAAUCUUGAAUGAAAAAGGAAGCAUUUUGCAAAAUACGCUCGUCUGUAGGAGUAAGGACUCUUAACGCUACAAA